rnacentral:rRNA from 1 species
ACGCACGCUGGCGGCGUGCUUAACACAUGCAAGUCGAACGGAAAGGCCCUGCUUUUGUGGGGUGCUCGAGUGGCGAACGGGUGAGUAACACGUGAGUAACCUGCCCUUGACUUUGGGAUAACUUCAGGAAACUGUGGCUAAUACCGGAUAGGAGCUCCUGCUGCAUGGUGGGGGUUGGAAAGUUUCGGCGGUUGGGGAUGGACUCGCGGCUUAUCAGCUUGUUGGUGGGGUAGUGGCUUACCAAGGCUUUGACGGGUAGCCGGCCUGAGAGGGUGACCGGCCACAUUGGGACUGAGAUACGGCCCAGACUCCUACGGGAGGCAGCAGUGGGGAAUAUUGCACAAUGGGCGGAAGCCUGAUGCAGCAACGCCGCGUGCGGGAUGACGGCCUUCGGGUUGUAAACCGCUUUCGCCUGUGACGAAGCGUGAGUGACGGUAAUGGGUAAAGAAGCACCGGCUAACUACGUG